rnacentral:rRNA from 1 species
AGCGGCCAUACCAUGCUAAAUAUACCGGUUCUCGUUAAAUCACCGAAGUCAAGCAUCAUUGGGCGCGGUCAGUACUUGGGUGGGUGACCACCUGGGAACACCGCGUGCCGUU